rnacentral:lncRNA from 1 species
CAAUGAUCUGAGUCGACAUGCGUUUACCUAUGGCUAAGAAAAACACAAACCAAAAGUCAAAUAGUUUCAAUUGAUUAAACUACAUAUCAUAGUCCUUAAUUAUUACAUGUUCCACCAAGUCUAAAGCACUCUUGAAUCUUUUAUACUCAAGCAAAGUUCAACUUCAGCAUUUGAAACUAGCUGUAUAUCAUGGAAUGGGGCCUUCACAAUAAACUAGACUAGAAACAUGAAUAAUACAUGGCAGAAUUGCACAGUAAUCAUAACAGAGGCUAAUGCCUUCUCAUUCAAAUUCAGCUUGGUCAUAGAUCUUUACACACAGCUUAAUCAUGCUUCAUUUAUACCAUAGUUUUAAGAUAAUACCUAGUAAUGAACAAGGAAAAACCAAAAGAAGUGAGGUAUCAGUAGUAAGCAAUAACAGAAACCAGUCCAGAUGCAGCUAAUAAAACAGUGAAAUCAACUCAGAAAAAAAACCAAUGGAACAGUAAAACCCCAUAGCAACUCAAAACCAGCUUUUACAAUACCAAAAUCAGACCAUCUUCAACCCAGGUGUAAGAUUUGAAGUUUUCAGAGAUUCAACCAGUGAAUAAGAUCAGCAAAUCAACACUACACGGAAAUUUUGAGCAAUUUGUCACAAAGAAAGUGCAUGGAAAUCAGUGUUAUUCCCAAGUUUUAGCCGUUUCAAUUUUCUGGACUUUUUUAAUCUCUCUCAAUCCCUUUUUCUAGUCUUAAGAAAUGAUGCCUUUAUAGGCAAGAUAUUAGGGCAGCCUAAAAGGAUCAGUUUUUGCACUUUGCACCUUUUGAUAUUUUCAUUUUAGCUCUAAAAUCCUUAGUUCAGAAUUUAAACUUUCAAAUUAAUCCCCAUCCCAGCUUCCUAGAAGCUUCCUUAGUCUGUUACUAAAAUAUUCCCUAUGCCAAUUACCCAGAUUACCCCUUAAACCCCUGAAAAUUACCCCUCCAACCAAAAUGUGGGUCAAACUAACCCGACUGAAUUUGGUAUGGGUCUGUAACCCAAAUUGAAUUCCCUCUUGGGCUCUUGAUUUUUCAGAUCUCAAUUUAAAUCAAUCAAAGAUUCAUAGUUUUUAAGAACUGAUCAAAAUUUCCCAAAAAAAAACCCGGAAACCUUUUAAAAUGCAAUCAAAACAAAGAAAAGGGUGAAUGAACUAAUUAACCUAAACACAUAGCAGGAAAUUAACUAAGUUAUAGGCCUAAUCAAAUUAACUAUGUGACUAAAUGGGAGAUGACAUUAGAACAAUAACCAUGCUAUUAACAAAAGAAACUAAACAAACUAAGCAGGACUGGAGAAACAGACUUGGAAAAAAAACUAGCGAAGAACAAAUAGACAAUUAUUGACCUCGGCCAAGACUUUGGUCAAAUUUCAAUUGAGUUGUCCAAGGAAAAUAGAAGAAGAGAAGAAGAAAGAAGGUUGAAAUAACACAAAAUGAACAAAAUAAUAGAAAGAACUCACCGAACAAAGCUCGAACUCGAGACUUGACACUCCAAUUUCAUCCCCAAAUAAUGUCAAUCGCUUGUUCUUUGUAAAGAAUAAGCGAACAAUGUUAUUUUGUGACAAACCAGCCCUAAAAACUCAUGAGAACUGGAGCAAUAACCCUGCAUGUACAGGUUUGGAUUUGGUUUCUAGGGCUCGAACUUUAGAUUUAAGAUUCGAGACGUUCUAGCAAGAUUCGAGAGAAACAGAGUGGGGAUUUGGAACGAGGGGGUCAUGGUGCUUAUGUGGUAUCAAUUUGAGGUCAUUUGGUAACGGCGCCGCCACCGGAGAGUGGAGAAUUUAGGGGCGGUGCUAGGGUUUUGUUCUUGAGUCUCUGAAGAUUGGGGGCAUGAGAGAGACGAUGAAAGAGGGGGGGAUAGCCAUUCGGACAAUAAA